ACUGGUACUCCGUACUCAAAGAGCGAAUUCUGCAUACUCUUUGCGUGCAGAGGGCUAGAUC
rnacentral:pre_miRNA from 1 species